rnacentral:rRNA from 1 species
AGUCGAACGGCAGCACGGAGCUUGCUCUGGUGGCGAGUGGCGAACGGGUGAGUAAUAUAUCGGAACGUACCCAGGAGUGGGGGAUAACGUAGCGAAAGUUACGCUAAUACCGCAUACGUCCUAAGGGAGAAAGUGGGGGAUCGCAAGACCUCAUGCUCAUGGAGCGGCCGAUAUCUGAUUAGCUAGUUGGUAGGGUAAAAGCCUACCAAGGCAACGAUCAGUAGCUGGUCUGAGAGGACGACCAGCCACACUGGAACUGAGACACGGUCCAGACUCCUACGGGAGGCAGCAGUGGGGAAUUUUGGACAAUGGGCGCAAGCCUGAUCCAGCAAUGCCGCGUGAGUGAAGAAGGCCUUCGGGUUUGUAAAGCUCUUUUUGUCAGGGAAGAAAAGG